rnacentral:rRNA from 1 species
UACGGAGGGAGCUAGCGUUGUUCGGAAUUACUGGGCGUAAAGCGCGCGUAGGCGGACCUGCAAGUCGGGGGUGAAAGCCCGAGGCUCAACCUCGGAACUGCCUUCGAUACUGCGGGUCUCGAGUCCGGGAGAGGUGAGUGGAAUUCCUAGUGUAGAGGUGAAAUUCGUAGAUAUUAGGAAGAACACCAGUGGCGAAGGCGGCUCACUGGCCCGGUACUGACGCUGAGGCGACGAAAGCGUGGGGAGCAAACAGG